UUUGUGUUUCUUUUUAAUUUUGGCUUUCUGGUGUGUUUAGCUUUCUGUCAGGGUGUCUUCCAGUAUUGUUUCAUGUGAUGUGAUUCAUGUUUGUUGUGUUACUGUGAGUGCAGCACCAGCUCUGGGGCUGGAAGAAGUGUUGAGCCCUGCUGUCACAGCAGCAGCGAUGGAGCCCUGCUCUGAUCCCCUCCCAAGGAAGAAGGCAGCAGUGGGAAAAGCCAGGGAGAGUCUCCUCUGCCUCAGGCUCUACAGCAGGAAGAAGAAAGCAGGUUAUUCUACCUACAUACACAAACUCCUGAAUCAAACCUGGAACGCAGGUGCCUCCUGCCUGGUGGCUGCUGCUCUCAGCUCACUGAACAGUCCCCGUCUGCUUGGGGAAGUAGCACUUGAGGYGGCCAGGCUGUCCUGCUACAGCAGAAGAAACCACCUCACCCACAGGGAGAUCCUCCUGGCCAUGAAGCUGGUUCUCCUGCAUGAGCUCUGCAAGACUAAUCUGGGAUCCUCAAGCUGGCAGCCAGUGCUGAAGGGACCUGGCGAGAUGUGACAGUUCUAAGAGUAUUUUAAAUGUGUUUUGGUA
ensembl:lncRNA